GACGAACGCUGGCGGCGUGCUUAACACAUGCAAGUCGAACGGUAACAGGCCGCAAGGUGCUGACGAGUGGCGAACGGGUGAGUAAUGCAUCGGAACGUGCCCAGUCGUGGGGGAUAACGCAGCGAAAGCUGUGCUAAUACCGCAUACGCUCUAUGGAUGAAAGCGGGGGACCGUAAGGCCUCGCGCGAUUGGAGCGGCCGAUGUCAGAUUAGGUAGUUGGUGGGGUAAAGGCCUACCAAGCCGACGAUCUGUAGCUGGUCUGAGAGGACGACCAGCCACACUGGGACUGAGACACGGCCCAGACUCCUACGGGAGGCAGCAGUGGGGAAUUUUGGACAAUGGGCGCAAGCCUGAUCCAGCAAUGCCGCGUGCAGGAAGAAGGCCUUCGGGUUGUAAACUGCUUUUGUACGGAACGAAACGGUCUGGGUUAAUACCCUGGGCUAAUGACGGUACCGUAAGAAUAAGCACCGGCUAACUACGUGCCAGCAGCCGCCGUAACAC
rnacentral:rRNA from 1 species